GGGCUAUUGAAGAAAUUGCUGUCCUUGUCAAGAUACAAGGACAAUAGAGAUCUCCAGCCCUGGAUCAAGUGCAUAUGCAACCACCUGUGGUAUUCCUGUUCAAGUUGUGGAGGUGACCCUGAUGACUUGAUCUGGAAAUGGAAGUCAAUACUUCAUCACAUUUGUGGAGAACAUAGCUGGACUCAGGAUGGUAUACAGCACAGAUGUCUACAUAGCGACCUCACUCCUGACCAACAGAGACACAAGAUGUGGCUUAAAAAAGUCUCGUGCGUACCAUACCCUGCAGACACUUGUCUUGGACAAAGGUCUCUUGAAGGACCUGCGCCAGAUGUCCGUGUUUAAGCAUACAGGCACGCUUUAAGUUUUCCAUUCUGUGCUACUCAAGUACUGUCAGAAGAACGUGCAUUUCCAUUAUUCAUCAAUGUUAGCCCGUACGCAACUGGCCAUACUGGACCACAAUGAAAAUGUACUGUACAUCAUAAACAGGCCACAACCAGUGGUGGUAAGUGAACAGCAAUACCACAGCAAAUGUUUCACACUACACAUAAAUCCUAAUUAUGAAA